CACGUAGGGCGCAAGCGUUGUCCGGAAUUAUUGGGCGUAAAGAGCUCGUAGGCGGUCUGUUGCGUCUGCUGUGAAAACCCGGGGCCUAACCCCUGGCUUGCAGUGGAUACGGACAGACUAGAGGUAGGUAGGGGAGAAUGGAAUUCCCGGUGUAGCGGUGAAAUGCGCAGAUAUCGGGAGGAACACCGGUGGCGAAGGCGGUUCUCUGGGCCUUACCUGACGCUGAGGAGCGAAAGCGUGGGGAGCGAACAGG
rnacentral:rRNA from 1 species